rnacentral:rRNA from 1 species
CUACGGAGGGUGCAAGCGUUACUCGGAAUCACUGGGCGUAAAGCGCGCGCAGGCGGCUAUUUAAGUUGGAUGUGAAAGCCUACGGCUCAACCGUAGAACUGCAUCCAAAACUAUUUAGCUAGAGUGUGGGAGAGGAAGAUGGAAUUAGUUGUGUAGGGGUAAAAUCCGUAGAGAUAACUAGGAAUACCAAAAGCGAAGGCGAUCUUCUGGAACAGUACUGACGCUGAGGCGCGAAAGCGUGGGGAGCAAACAGGAUUAGAUACCCGAGUAGUCC